rnacentral:rRNA from 1 species
AAACUGGGAUUAGAUACCCCACUAUGCCUGACUGUAAAUUACAAGCCAAAAAAGUACGAGCCACGCUUUAAACUUAAAGGACCUGGCGGUACUCUACAUCGACCUAGAGGGGUCUGUCCUAUAAUCGACAAUCCGCGAAAAACCCAACCAUCUCUUGCCAUCCAGCCUAUAUACCGCCGUCUCCAGCACAUUUUCCAAGAAAUGAAGCAAAACAGUCUUACACACUAGCACGUCAGGUCAAGGUGUAGCCCAUGAGAUGGAAGAGGCGGACCACAAUGCCGCAACACACAGAAACCACAUUGAAACAUGUGGAGGAAGAAGAAUUUAGCAGUAAGAGGAACCGAAUGCCCCUCUGAACCCUGCCCUAGAGUACGCACACACCGCCCGUCACCCU